GAGGAAGGUGGGGACGACGUCAAAUCAUCAUGCCCCUUAUGCUCUGGGCUACACACGUGUUACAAUGGCUGGUACAACGAGCCGCCAACUCGCGAGAGUGAGCAAAUCUCUUAAAACCAGUCUCAGUUCGGAUUGCACUCUGCAACUCGAGUGCAUGAAGUCGGAAUCGCUAGUAAACGCAGAUCAGCACGCUGCGUUGAAUACGUUCCCGGGUCUUGUACACACCGCCCGUCACACCAUGGAAGUCGACCACGCCCGAAGUACGUGAGCUAACCGUAAGGAAGCAGCGUCCUAAGGCAGGGUUGGUGACUGGGGUGAAGUCGUAACAAGGUAA
rnacentral:rRNA from 1 species